rnacentral:lncRNA from 10 species
AAUCUUCAUGAGGUUUAUCUCCUUGCUGCUGGAGCACAUGUGUCUGCCACGGCCUUUAGUGUACUUGCCACUUCCUGCUCGGCUCAUGCAAUUCACAUGGAGUGCAACUCAUCUUGGAGUGGAGCAACAUGAUGAUCUGCAGAAUAUCUGGGUGGACCAUGUUCCCUGGACUAUCUUAGGACAGUGGGAGGUGUCAAGGCCUGGGGAAGACUGGAAAUGCAUACCUGGAGAUGUCAGUUCCAACUGAAGGCUUUUGGGUUCUUCUUUCUCAUAGGGAUGAAACGGGAACCAUUUGUCUAAUGGUGACAUCCUAUCUGUGUAAAUCUACUCUAAUAGAGAUUCUGUGUCCUGCACAGCAGCUGCAAGUGAGGUCUACCUGUCUGCAGGCGUGCUCCCCUGCAUGCUGUGGUGAGGCUUAGCUUGGCUCCAGGGUCUCUGUCGCCCUUAGGCCAGGAGCUGCCCACUGAGUCUGCAUUUUAGGAUAGAAGCAGGGGCAUGAGAGAAGCAAAUGGAACCUUGCAGUGCAUCUUAAUGCCUGGUGCUGAAAUGGAUUGACCGCCAUGCCCCACAUUCCAACAGCCAAUUUCAUGGCAGGGGGCAGCACUCUUCCCCCUCUAGUCAGUGAGACGGUCAGGUCACGUGACAAAGAGCAUGGCUGCAUCCUUCUGAUACUGAGACAGGUGGAAAGUCAGGGGCAAUGGUCCAACUCCCUCAAUAUCCGGUCAUGCAAUAACAAUACACCUGCCUCUGAGAGUCGGAAGGAC